CGAACAUGUCAUCCAACUUUUGCCUGUAUUGAGCUAAAGUCUGCAAAGACGGGGGGAAGGGAUUGUCAACGUCCCACAUUGAUAAAAUAAGAGAGAACAUGAGUUCUAGUUAGUAUGUAUAUUCUUGUAUAAAUAGGUGUAUUCUUUUGGCUGAAAUAAGAGAGAACAUAUGAGUUCAUAAGGCCAUGGGUUAGACUAGCUAAUUGGUUGAAUUCAAUCUUUUAGUGUGGUUUGGCCCAGGUGUGAUAUAGCCCAGUUGAGUAACCAUAGCCCAAUCUUUAAUUAUAACAGGAUUUGACC